GACGAACGCUGGCGGCGUGCCUAAUACAUGCAUAGACGACAAGUGGCGCACGGGUGAGUAAUACAUCGGAACGUGUCCUAUCGUGGGGGAUAACUGAUCGAAAGAUCAGCUAAUACCGCAUACGAUUGAAGCGGCCGAUGCCCGAUCAGCUAGUUGGUGAGGUAAAGGCUCACCAAGGCGACGAUCGGUAGCUGGUCUGAGAGGACGACCAGCAACACUGGGGAUGAGACACGGCCCAGACUCCUACGGGAAGCAGCAGUGGGGGAUUUUGGACAAUGGGGGCAACCCUGAUCCAGCCAUGCCGCGUGCAGGAUGAAGGUCUGCGGAUUGUAAACUGCUUUUGUCAGGGAAGCGGUACCUGAGAAUAAGCACCGGCUAACUACGUGCCAGCCGACGCGGUAAUAC
rnacentral:rRNA from 1 species